AAGGCAAAUAAAUCAAGUUUGGUCUACAUGAUUUGCAAAGACAAAAUGCCUCUAUCUUCUGUGAAAAAAUCAGGAUUGAUAAGAUUGAUGAGCGUCAUUUGGUUUCAUCACGAACUACAAUAGUUGGCUUAAUGGAACAACGAUAUGCCACUACCAAAGCCAMUGUAAAACAAAAAUUAAGUGAGAUAAAUAAUAGUGCUUUAACAAGUGAUAUAUUAACUCUUACGAACUCGACAUGAAGUUUCAUCGCAGUAACAGCGCAUUUUCUUAACACUGCAAAUAACUGCACUCCUGAAUCUGAACAUGAGAUGGUGAUAUUGACAGCACGAAGAAAGUAUAAGUUCUACACAGCACUGCUCAGAUGGGUUACCAAAAACUGCAUGCGUACGAUGACCUAGAGGUGAUGCCUCGGAGGCGGAAAAUACUGACAUCGGUUCCGGCGGCGGGUCAGGAAGGUUUGACGGCACAAUAAAUGGUAGAAAGAGUGGAUGGAACUAGUGUAAAAUGGCAACUGAGGGAGAGCAAAUCACCAACUGAAGCAAGGGCCCUAAUAUUGGAAAGUGUAGAAGGGAUAACAUUCCGCUAGGAGAACUGAGGCAUAUUAUUCCAAAUGCACCUGAGAAAAACAAGGUCUAUAUAAGCAAUCGUUAAAGGCGCAAACAUUUUAGGGCGGUAUUUUGAUAACUUUUCUCUACAUAUUUUUUAUUUAAAUAAAAUAAUUUACAACAUGUCUUCAUUUAUAUCAUAUGUAUAUAAGAAGAUCUGAUUCCGCGSCUUCGCUCGCGUGUUAUUUGGAACUGGGCGUUGUUGUCAAAGAUAUCAUGCGCUUAUCUCAAAUUCUGUUGGAUUUGUAAUGAAAGUCUGUUCAUUCGUUCGUUGUGUGUUCAAAAACCGCCUGGUUCACGAACAAUAAUCAGUAUAAUUCAUAAGCAUAUGUGUAUAAACAAAUAUUACUGAA